GGGCAAAAAGUAAACAAGAAGUGAGGAAAAGCUGAGGCAUAACCGUCCUUUGCAUGUGGGGAGGUUCAGCCCUGCUUGGGUUCAGGGCGCGGGUUGUGGGCGGGGUGACCGGGCCCCUGGGGGGCACCACGGAGAGGAGGCCCAGCUCCAGGGUGGCACGGCCACGGCCCUCCCACCGUAGCCCCCCAUGGUCAAGGCUGAGGUCACCCCUGGGGUCCCGUUCCCAAGGCCCUAACCCCAGGCACAGGGGUUCCUUGCUGGUGAAGAUUGCAUUUACUUCUUGGAGAGCGCAGGCCUGAGCAGGAGCAGGGGAGGGGGGGCGGCGGCGGGUGCUGAGCAGGGGGCUGGGGCUCGGGUCACAGGGAUCGUGUCCACACGGGGGAUCGCCCCCCAGGCCCCCUCCAAGGACUCCCACCAGGGUUUUGGAUUUGAGGUAAGACACGUGGAGAGGACGGAGACAUUGUGUCUGAGGCGGGACUGGGGGUCCAGCCCUGCCGUGUGAGGCAGCCUGGGGGUCCCCAUGGGCUCCUCCCUGGGUUUUGGGGUGCAGCCCGAGCAGGCGGCGACUGCAUUACUGGACGGGCCAGGUGGGCCUCCGCGCCCCCCGGGGACACGGGCCUGUCCUCACCCCUCUCGCCCCGGCUCUGCCCUCCGCCUCUUAGGUCAAGCGAGGAGGCCACCCGUGCAAGGGACAGGCCACCUGUGACGUCGCUGUCAUUCCCCACUUGCUCACUCACAACCCGGCCGCCGCCCCCGGGGAUGAGUCCUUGAGCCCAGCCCCCCGACGGCUACCCAGCUAAACAGUUCAUUUACUGCACGAUGCCUAGCUUCAAACUCCUGCGUCCUCGUGGGACUCCCUGGUUGUCCGCGAACCGCCUAGAAAUCCCAGGAUCUCCCCCAAGCAACCCCGGGAAGCUCCCCCCCACCCCGGAAGACCCAAGGACUGGUCCUAAAUCUCGCCAGCCUGGGAUAGGGUCCUGCAGGUACCUUGCUACGGCCUUGGCCUUGGCCCUGGAGUGCGAGCAGCCGGGAGGUUGGCAGGGGCUCCCUGGCCCGUGGGCCGCCCGGCUUCAGGCGCCUUGUACCCUGGGGGUCACACGUGAGACCAGCGUCCCCAGGCGGGCAGUCGUCCUGUCUCCGUGGCGAAGUCACAGAAGACCCCGCUGCCAGUUGGGCCAGAGUUUCCAGGUAGCAUGA
rnacentral:lncRNA from 1 species